AUGUCAACCGGCAACCGUAUCUGGAAACAACGAUUAGUGGAUAUUGGUACUGUCACUGCACAGCAAGCAAAGGAUUGGGGAUUCAGUGGUGUAAUGUUAAGAGGUCUGAAUUGGUGGGCCUACCCAUCCCGACCUGGGGUAUGCUGGGAUUCGCGAAGAGCAGCACCUUACGAUGUUCAUGACCAAUCGGGUCUUGACGUACCAGUAGGUACCAGAGGAGAUCGCUAUGAUCGUUACUGUAUCCAUAUUGAAGAGAUGCGACAAAGUGUUCGGAUCAUUGUGCAAUGUCCUAAUCAAAUGCCUAGUGGCAUGAUCAAAGUCAAUGAUCGUAAGCUAUGUCCUCCAUCACGAUCUCGAAUGAAACUAUCCAUGGAAUCCAUCCCGAGGUUGGCGCAUCUCGUUGGGCGUGGAGAAGCAUUGGGAACCCCAAUAUCUUUCUUCGGAGCAGUUUCUUUUCCCGUCCCCUCGCCCUGUCAUAGCGCUUCGCUUCCGGUUCUUUAG
rnacentral:rRNA from 1 species